rnacentral:lncRNA from 1 species
CCCUGAAGCGUUGUGCCCUUUUUUUUUCUCUCUGUCUCUUUCUCUAUCGCUCUGCAUGUGCCGUCCUUUGCCUUAAAGAGCCUUAAACUGAUGGGACUCGCAGGACAAUAGACUGGAGACUCCAGCGGCCACUAGCACACAUACACGACGUGUGUGUGUGUGUGUGUGUGUGUGUGUGUGUGUGUGUGUGUGUGUGUGUGUGUGUGUGUGUGNNNNNNNNNNNNNNNNNNNNNNNNNNGUGUGUGUGCUGUGAAAGUCGCUUUGGCUCUGGUAUUGGCACUUGCUCAGAUGGGAACUGACACAUGACUUUAGUGUCAGCUGUAAACACCGAUCUAGACUUGGCAGUUCUUUGUUUUGUUGUUGUCAUUUGUUUUUAUGAAGAGAUUUCAUUUUUUAAAUUUUCACUCUGUAAAUUCUUAUAUCUUCCGUUCACCUGAUGUAUAUCAAACACACCGUUCCGUUGUUUCCAUAUACACCGUCAGUCACUGGGAAAUGAAUUGCAUGGAGCGGGUUCCACAUUAUCGAAACGUUACCAAAGUCUCACUCACUUUGACACCAAAACAGUGCUUUUAGGUGUCUGUAGCAUGGGAUAUAAACUUGCGUCUCUGUGUGUAUGGCUGUAUUACGUUAUUAUCUAUGUGUACUGUUGUAAGGGCGGAGCGGCCCUGCCGGUGCAUGGAAGCCUCUUCUGUCUCUGCUGCACCCGGGAGAUCCACAAGACUCCUUUCUCAAACACCAGCACGUGUUUCAGGCUUUCACACAGAGCUCUCCAAAGAAAAACAGGGCUAAGCACUCGCAAUGUUCCUUUAUCCAGCUCUGAGUGAUGAUGCUGAACUGUGUGUUGGUAUGAGGAACUCUGCCCCAAGUGCUGGUUCUCUUGUUGGUAGAACUUCUAAAAGAUGUUUGCUAGAUUUCAUGAAACCUGUGAAAGCAUCUUGCUGUGUCACUGUCGGAUGGGUGGUGCUGGAGUUUCCUGAUGACAUCUUACCUCUGCGGCCCCACUUGCAGAGCAACAGUCUGGAAUGGCAAAAAAAAAUCUCAAAUUUCAUCGCAUACUAUAAGUCAUGUGGUAUUCAUUCUGUACAUGCUGAUAAUGUAACUCUCGGUUCACUGCGCUGUUUGACAGGUUAUGUGAAACAGGUCCUAUUGUUGUGGUGUUUGGUUUGAAGUUUGAAAACCUGCCAAUGACUUGCGACGUUCUGCAUCCAAAAUGCAACCAACAGUGAUGUUUGCACUUUAAUGUUUGCGUUCUGCUUAGUGGUUGGUUUUGUUGGAUGUUGAUCAUUCUUGCUUCACGUUGCUUGCUCGCAUUCAUUAUGACAAUGACAGAGCUGCUCUCAUUUGCCCUUUCGUUUACACAAAACCAAAAACAAAACGACCUAAAUACUUAACAUUUGUCUUUUGCUGCAUUGCAACACUAGUUUUUCUGAUGUGUAUACCCUCAAACCCAAACACUUUGCAUGACAGAAAUAAAAUGCCCCAAAAUUCAGUAGGCACAACAGUCCUGUAAUGUUAAAAUGUUGCUGGUUUAAAUUGAAAUGUUGUAUUGACAAACGUGUUGCCAUCCACUGGUUGUUCAGUAUUUCAACAGCAUUGUGCAUAUGAACCGUCCUGCUGGUCAAGGCACAUCUCAGGAUCAAAAUGAUUCCCUAUGUAUCAGGAUGCUGUAUUCUCCAACCUAGUGUGAAUAUAGAGCUGAUUUUGUGGAAGUUUGUGUUAAUGGAGUUGACAGCUGUCCUCAUUAGGACCUCAUUCUUAGAAAGUAAAAGGAUUUCUACUCCAUUUAAGUUUUCACCCGUAAAUGCUUUGUUUUUUUUGUUUUUUUACACACGUUGUUGUUCCUAAUAAGUUUGAAUUGCUUUCUUCCUUAAAAAAAACAAAUAAAAAAUCCAUAUGACUUGAAUGAUGAG